CAGAACAGAGUCAUAGAAUCUUCUGGGUUGGAAAAGACCUCGAAGUUCAUAGACUUCAACCAUCAGGUUGUUAUGACCUAAGUGCAGAAACAAUUUCAGCAAGGUCCAGAAGGGACAACUGUCCAGAGCUGAGCCAUGAUCAAUGCUGUUUGUGAAUCUGGGAGACCAGAUUUAGGAAAGGAAAGAUCUGCUGUAGAGCAGCAGAUGGAAGGAGUGAGAAAAUAUGAGACAAGCAGACCUGCAAACAUCAAGUAAAGACAAGAAGGAGAACCUGGAGAACUACAAACCUGCAAGCCUCACUUCCAUCCCUGGAAGUAUGAUGAAACUGGAAACUGUUUCUGGGCUCAAAAAGGAGAAGAAGACCAUUAGGAGCAGUCACUAUUAAUUCACCAAAGGGAAGUCAUUCUUGACCGUACUGAUAAGCUUCAAAAAUGAAAGGACCAGCCUUGAAAAUGAGAGGACAGUAGAAAUAAGUCAACAAUGAGCAGAAGAAAUGUUGCUUGCUAAUCUUGUACUUCUGCUUGGUUACGCAUCCUCGAAAAAUGAGACUAAA